rnacentral:rRNA from 1 species
GACGAACGCUGGCGGCGUGCCUAAUACAUGCAAGUCGAGCGAACAGACCAGGAGCUUGCUCCUCUGACGUUAGCGGCGGACGGGUGAGUAACACGUGGAUAACCUACCUAUAAGACUGGGAUAACUUCGGGAAACCGGAGCUAAUACCGGAUAAUAUAUUGCACUGCAUUGUUCAAUAGUGGAAGACGGUUUUGCUGUCACUUAUAGAUGGACCCGCGCCGCAUUAGCUAGUGGGUAAGGUAACGGCUUACCAAGGCAACGAUGCUUAGCCGACCCGAGGGGGUGGACGGACACACGGUAUGAGAGGCAGGGUCGAGACUCCGGCAGUAGGAAGCAGUAGGGAAUCUUCCGGAAUGGACGAGAGCGUGACGGUGCAACGCGGCGGGAGGCAUGAAGGGCUUCGGAUCGUAGAACGCUGUUAUUAGGAGAGAACUAAUGUGUAAGUAACUGUGCACGUCUUGACGGUACCGGGUCAGAAAGCCACGGCUAACUACGUG